AAAGAAAAUGUGCACCAGAAUGCACCAGAAUGCACUGUUUUGGACUUCCUUCAAAGAUCUGCGUGCUCCUGAAGAAAUACUGUUGAAUACUCCGAAAGUGUUGAGUGGAAAGAAGAGAAAAGAUGGCAGGAGAUUUUGUACCGGAAGAAGAAUUAAAGUUGACAGGAUUCCAGAAAUACUUCAACAGCUACACUCUUAGAGGGCGGUUUAACUGGGUGGUACUCACCUAUUCAAGCCUACUUGGCGCCUUCCUGCUCUAUAAGUUCAGGAAACCAAGCGAAGCUGCGCCCAAGAAAGGGAAAAAAUCCUCCGAUUGUCAGCCCAAAAAGGUGGAGAAGAAACCCUGCCCACGGGUUGUCAAUGACUAGAGCCUGCAGGCUUGGUACUCUUUCAGAUACAAUGGUGGUAACCAUUCCAGGAAUUCUAAUUGGAUAAUUCUCAUCUGUUAAUUAAAGUAAUUGUUUGUUAUACAAGAGUAAAUGUUUAAAUAAAGGAGAUUCUUAAAC